AAAGAAUUAAUUUACAUAAAAUAAUAGUUAGUCAUACUAUAAAUAUUAGAUAAUAUCUAAUAUUCUUUA
rnacentral:tRNA from 1 species